rnacentral:rRNA from 1 species
UGAGGAAUAUUGGUCAAUGGACGGAAGUCUGAACCAGCCAUGCCGCGUGAAGGAUGAAGGCGUUCUGCGUUGUAAACUUCUUUUAUCUGGGACGAAAACGGGAUUUUUAUCUCAAUUGACGGUACCAGAGGAAUAAGCACCGGCUAACUCCGUGCCAGCAGCCGCGGUAAUACGGAGGGUGCGAUCGUUAUCCGGAUUUACUGGGUUUAAAGGGUGCGUAGGUGGGCUUAUAAGUCAGUGGUGAAAUCUCCGAGCUUAACUUGGAAACUGCCGUUGAUACUAUAGGUCUUGAAUUAUCUGGAAGUAAGCGGAAUAUGUCAUGUAGCGGUGAAAUGCUUAGAUAUGACAUAGAACACCAAUUGCGAAGGCAGCUUACUACAUAUAAAUUGACGCUGAGGCACGAAAGCGUGGGGAUCAAACA